rnacentral:pre_miRNA from 1 species
GGCCUCCUUCUGUGGGGCGAUCGAUCAUGGGGCUCUGCGAUUGAUCGCCGCGCAGAGGAUGGCC